CCCCCAAAUCAGAAAAUCUCUCUCUCUCUCUCUCUCUCUCUUUUAUUUUCUCUUGAUUUCCUCUCGGAUUAUCUUCGAUUCCAAGCGAUCCGGCCGUUCGAUCGUUGAUCCGACUUCGCUUUCACCGUUAAAGUGCCCCCGAUCUACAAGGAGCCUAUAAGUGGGUGUGUAGUUCCACUAUACACUUACGCGUAGCAAGCAAAGCGAGACAUGAUGACGUAGUCGAUGGCUUAGCUCGACGAAUUCCAUGACGCCAGAUUUGAAUAUUGCGCGGGCCAAGGCUCAGAUUCUCAGGAUUUUGUUCGAUCUUCUCCCCAGACUCGGACUUGAGUCAUCAUUUCCCAGGCGAGU